CGGUGUUCAACUGGCGUGUCCGCGGGACGUCCUGCCGGUGGGCUUAGCCCGCAAGGGCGGCCCAACUUCAAAUCCCAUCGCGGUGCUCUUCACUGAGUGUCGAGGUGGGCCGGCACGUUUACUUUGAACAAAUUAGAGUGCUUAAAGCAGGCUAAAACUUCGCCUGAAUACUGUGUGCAUGGAAUAAUGGAAUAGGACCUCGGUUCUAUUUUGUUGGUUUUCGGAACCCCGAGGUAAUGAUUAAUAGGAACGGAUGGGGGCAUUCGUAUUGCGACGUUAGAGGUGAAAUUCUUGGAUCGUCGCAAGACGGACAGAAGCGGAAGCAUUUGCCAAAAACGCUUUCAUUGAUCAAGAACGAAAGUUAGAGGUUCGAAGGCGAUCAGAUACCGCCCUAGUUCUAACCAUAAACGAUGCCAGCUAGCGAUCCGUCGACGUUCCUCCGAUGACUCGACGGGCAGCUUCCGGGAAACCAAAGCUUUUGGGUUCCGGGGGAAGUAUGGUUGCAAAGCUGAAACUUAAAGGAAUUGACGGAAGGGCACCACCAGGAGUGGAGCCUGCGGCUUAAUUUGACUCAACACGGGAAACCUCACCAGGCCCGGACACCGGAAGGAUUGACAGAUUGAGAGCUCUUUCUUGAUUCGGUGGGUGGUGGUGCAUGGCCGUUCUUAGUUGGUGGAGCGAUUUGUCUGGUUAAUUCCGAUAACGAACGAGACUCUAGCCUGCUAACUAGGCGUAUUUUCGACAUCUCAAAGGUCCGUCGUCCCGGCCCUCGGGUCGUGGGCGUGCGCGAUUUUUACUGUCGGCGUACUAUCAAUUCUUCUUAGAGGGACAGGUGGCUUCUAGCCGCACGAGAUUGAGCAAUAACAGGUCUGUGAUG
rnacentral:rRNA from 1 species